UUCAACAGUAACCCUCUAGUAAAGUAAAUCAUAGAUUAAGCCACUGCUUUUUUCUUAGGGAUUCCCCAGAAUCCCAAUAAGUAUAAUCCGCCAAACUUUUAUUUACCUAUUUUCGUUGAUGUCACCAGAACUUACUUGUAUUGUAAUAUACAGGUACUUCAUGUACCAUGAAAGAUUAUCAUGGUAAUUUCAUUUACGAAAACCUUGUAAUUGUCAUUUCACUUUUGCUAGCAGUUCCUUCUUCAAAGACUGAGGUGGAAAGAUUAUUCAGUGUUCUCAAAUGUAAAAACUGACAAAAGAAACAGGCUUUCUAAUGAAACCCUGAACGGCUUGCUUCAUAGAAAGUUCCCAACUUUGCCAGCAAACAAUUGCUCAAUUUUAGAACCGAACAGUGUUAGGUUGCGUGCAGCAAAAGAAUAUAAAAGCAAUGCGUCGACUUCCUUGAAAAUUCUAAUCCUAUAGAUCUAUGAUCUUCUGGGGGCGUUUAUAUUAUAUAUACCUACAUUAAAUAAUAUGCUGUGGUUUAUUUUCUGUAUUUUAUUUAUGCUUUCUAUAUAAAGGAUUUAUGAAAGUUGUCUAGGAAAUUUUAGGGAUAAAUUCAAAAGAAACUAGGGUAAAAUGUGUUAAAAAAAACUUAAGUGGAAACACUGCUUUGAAGUUUUCAAAAUCCCAGGGCCGUAAAACAAUCUCAAAAAAAAAAAAAAAAGUUUUCAAAAUGUCGUAACGAUUUAAUUUUUUAAAUCGUUUUUUUUGGUCUUGGUAAAGUUUAUUAUUAAAAAUCAGCAUGCCUCGAAGAUCGAAAAUGAAAUGCUAUUUCGGAUGCCUUGAUAACGACAAAGGUUUGAUAAUGACAAAAUUUUAUGGAAAAAUUAUAAGGAGCACUAAAAUGUCUGAAACAUGAAAAGAUUGAUGCACUAUAUUUGAACCAGAACGUGUUAUGUAAUAUAUUAAUUUAAGAGAAACUGAUUCAGCAAGGAAUGUGAACUCACAAGGGAUCUUAAUUUUUUUUAAAUAUGUUUAUAAUUUAUAAAUUAAUAAUUGAAAUAGUUCAUAAGAACUAAAUUGAUGCCAAUUUUGUUUUAAAAUAGGUUGUUUAGUUCUUAUAGUUAUACUAUUACGUUUGAAUAGUUGUAAUUAGUAAGUUAGUAAUAUAUGAAAAUACUGAUAUAAAUUUUUGUAAAUGAGCUUUUGUAAAUUCUACGAGAAGAUGAUUUUAAUUAAUGAUCAAAAGUCAACGAUCUUCAAAAGCAUUAUUUGCAAUUAUUUAGAUUAACUGUGGAAUAUAUUUGCUAACUUGUGUUUUCUGUAUGAGCAGAUAUAAAUGAAAAUGCCCAAACAUGAUAAUGUUUCUUACAUUUUCAUUGUGUGAAAUCAAUAUGCUUGUGACUGAGUAUAUUAAUAAUUUAUUAAAACUUAAGUGAUAGACAGCAACCGCUAUGACACUGCUGAAGUUUAUAAUCACUGGUGACCACUUAUCAUGAGCCGGGUUGUGUGCUCGUCUGCUGUUGAGUGCAAUAAAAAUUUUCGAGACCCUUUCUAUUAUUUAGAUGUAAUAUUAAUGUACAUUUAAUUUGGAUUAAAAGAUAAAUUUACAUUUUAUGUUUGCAUGUGUAUGUUUAUAAUUCAUUUGCAUGUAACGAACAUCAGUUUCUUUUGUAACAAAAUGCAAACUAAUGGUUUGUAAUGAAUGUAAUUAACUUUAAGAUGAUUUUCUUUCAAUCUGCUGUUUGUUUCAUCUAGUAUUACCAAAGCUAAAGCAUCAGAAACGUCAGAAUAGAAAUAAUUUAGUUAAAGAAUAAAAGUAUAACUAUUGUAAUCAUGUCUAAGAUUACUAUAAGUGUCAUUAAGUACAAACUAUCAAUAUUUAAGAGUACUUUAAAUCAUCAUUACAUUUUUUAAACAUUUUUUGUUUUUUUUUUUUGUUUUUCAAAUCAUGUAACAAAACGUUUGUGCAGAACAAAAUGUCACAUGUUAUGAACAUGAUUGUGGGUUAAUCGUUUCUAAAUGUUUAUAAGAAUGCUAAGAAUAAUUUAGUAUUCACUUUAGUGUGUGUAUUAUCUCUACAAUGCUAGUUUAAAUGACAAUUAUUGUAUGACGAAGCAUAGGUAGUAUUUAUAGAUGUAAUAUUUUCAUACAAGGUCAUGAUCUGUCACGAUCAACUUUAAGCAAGAACUGCUAUCAUUAAGAAACAAAUUUAUUAAAUUUAAUUCAAAUUGUCUACUAUGUUUAUAAUGGAAAGCUGACAUGUUUAUAUUUCGCACAAAUGACUUAAUUGACAUUGAAUGAUUUGAUUAUCUAGACUUAAUUAACUUUUAGAUAACUUUCGAUUUAAUGUUAAUAAGUACGCUAGUAGGAUUAAUCUAGAGGAGUUAUUGUUAUUCGAAGUUUUAUACAAUUGUACGUUCAUACAAUCUUUUAACCGAAAAUUGUUUGUAAUAUAGGGAAAUUAAAUAGCUUACAGAGAA